GCUUUUUGUGUAUCCUGUUAACAAGUGUUUAUCUGUGUUUGUUCUACUAAUUUUUAACUUAUCUUUUGACAAGAGAAGUUACAGUAAAUAUGAUGCAGUUGAGUUUCUCCUGCAGGGAUUCGAACUCAGGAUAAAAACAAAUCUUUCCUUACAGAACUCCUACUCUACCGACUGAGCUAAACAGCUUUGAAUGACUGAGGAAUUCUCUGGUUGGAAUGACGUAAACCACGUCAAAUAAGUCCAGCCCACAGAUUUUAUGACGAAUCCAGGUGGUGCGCGUCAAAAGGGGCGGUCUCUCUCGUUUCCCGCGUGAAAGUUGCGCAUUUCCCUCCAAAAACUUGGAUGUGUACAAAAACGGCUGACUGAUCGUCACUCUGUUUGGAGCUGCUCUUCUCUGAGGACACGAACACGGUGAACAGUGGGACUUGUCUUCAGCUUCAGGUGGAACAGCUCUGACCUGUAUGGUGAUCAGACCCGGACAGGAGAGACACCUGGUCCAACAAGAUGACGGACGAGCAGCUGAGACGAAUAAGACGAGCCGCCACAGGACCUGAAGCAGGAAAACUGAGUAUCGUCUUCUGAUGAAACUCCUUCAGGUGCUGCAGGUGUUUGUUGACUCUGGUUUCACCUGCUCAGACAGUGAGCACUGUUGUCUUUGCUGGUUAUUUACAUAAUAAAACCUUUUUUUGAAUUACACUCUGUUGUGGUUUUUAUAGAUUUUUAAAGAACAUGUUGAGUCUUUUGAUGGAGUCCAAUGUCUCCUCUCAGUGGCAUUUUCAAAGCUUU
rnacentral:lncRNA from 1 species